rnacentral:rRNA from 1 species
UCCUACGGGACGCAGCAGUGGGGAAUAUUGCACAAUGGGGGAAACCCUGAUGCAGCGACGCCGCGUGAGCGAUGAAGUAUUUCGGUAUGUAAAGCUCUAUCAGCAGGGAAGAAAAUGACGGUACCUGACUAAGAAGCCCCGGCUAACUACGUGCCAGCAGCCGCGGUAAUACGUAGGGGGCAAGCGUUAUCCGGAUUUACUGGGUGUAAAGGUAGCGUAGACGGCGAUGCAAGCCAGAUGUGAAAGCCCGGGGCUCACCCCCGGGACUGCAUUUGGAACUGUAUAGCUAGAGUGUCGGAGAGGCA